rnacentral:rRNA from 1 species
GCUGUCUGUUGCCACCACGAGAGGUGGGGACUCAGGCGGAACUGCCGGUGACAAACCGGAGGAAGGUGGGGACGACGUCAAGUCAUCAUGGCCCUUAUGUCCUGGGCUACACACGUGCUACAAUGGCCGGUACAGAGCGCAGCGAGGCCGCGAGGCGGAGCGAAUCGCUUAAAGCCGGUCCCAGUACGGAUUGGAGUCUGCAACCCGACUCCAUGAAGUUGGAAUCGCUAGUAAUCGCGCAUCAGCACUGGCCGCGGUGAAUACGUUCCCGGGCCUUA